rnacentral:rRNA from 1 species
UAGGGAAUCUUCGGCAAUGGGGGCAACCCUGACCGAGCAACGCCGCGUGAGUGAAGAAGGUUUUCGGAUCGUAAAGCUCUGUUGUAAGUCAAGAACGGGUGUGAGAGUGGAAAGUUCACACUGUGACGGUAGCUUACCAGAAAGGGACGGCUAACUACGUGCCAGCAGCCGCGGUAAUACGUAGGUCCCGAGCGUUGUCCGGAUUUAUUGGGCGUAAAGCGAGCGCAGGCGGUUUGAUAAGUCUGAAGUUAAAGGCUGUGGCUCAACCAUAGUUCGCUUUGGAAACUGUCAAACUUGAGUGCAGAAGGGGAGAGUGGAAUUCCAUGUGUAGCGGUGAAAUGCGUAGAUAUAUGGAGAACACCGGUGGCGAAAGCGGCUCUCUGGUCUGUAACUGACGCUGAGGCUCGAAAGCGUGGGGAGCGAACAGGAUUAGAUACCCUGGUAGUCCACGCCGUAAACGAUGAGUGCUAGGUGUUGGAUCCUUUCCGGGAUUCAGUGCCGCAGCUAACGCAUUAAGCACUCCGCCUGGGGAGU